CUUUAUUAAUUAUCUUUAUCAAGCCACGCCCAAAGUUCUUGCCCACGCAGUCCACGUGUGUAAAAUGGUGUCUAAUUCAUCGUGUGAAGAAAACUUUUAUACCCCAACUAGUCUGUCUAGUCAUGAUGAUGAAACUACUGUUCCUAUUGUGUUUAGGGGCCAUCAUCUUCCAGUACACGAUACUACCUGACAGAGGAGGAUAAAGGAGGAGCUACUGGUACUAAAACGGGACAGAUUUGUAUCUGGAACUUAUACAGGAAGAGAAUCAACGGAGAAUUUGUGUUAUGUCCAAGACUAUUAUUACUAGGAAUGGAGUCUGGAGAGAGGGACAGGAUUGUCAGUCUUAGUAAAAAUGGUUGCAUAGCAUUGUGGGAUGGUAAAGAUGGGACGUGUCUUAAGACUGUUAAUAAUUAUGGAAAUGGAAUGCAUUAUGGAAUAAAGCUGCAGGUGUGGAGUCUAUCAUUGGUAAGCUUCAUUGAGAGGAAGGUUCUGCCGCUCCUGAUUUCAAGUCUCAUUUCACUGGCUCUCUCUCUGACUCAUGGCAGUCCCCAGCCACUCCUUGUUCCCUUAUUGACUCAGUUUAUCCCAGUAUCAGUGCUGGUCCUUCUUCCAAUAUUACUGUUUCUUUAUUUUUGACACAAUUUGGUUGGUUGAUCUGUG
rnacentral:misc_RNA from 1 species